UACGUAGGGUGCAAGCGUUAAUCGGAAUUACUGGGCGUAAAACGCUUGUAGGUGGCCACGCCAAGUCGGAUGUGAAAUCUCCCGGCUUAACUGGGAGGGGUCAUGCGAUACUGGCGGGCUCGAGGCAGGUAGGGGGAAGCGGAAUUCCCGGUGUAGUGGUGGAAUGCGUAGAUAUCGGGAGGAACACCAGUGGCGAAGGCGGCUUCCUGGACCUGUUCUGACGCUGAGGAGCGAAAGCGUGGGGAGCGAUCCGG
rnacentral:rRNA from 1 species